GACGUAGGAGGCGAGCGUUGUCCGGAUUCAUUGGGCGUAAAGAGCGCGCAGGCGGCUUGGUAAGUCGGAUGUGAAAUCCCGAGGCUCAACCUCGGGUCUGCAUCCGAUACUGCCCGGCUAGAGGUAGGUAGGGGGAGAUCGGAAUUCCUGGUGUAGCGGUGAAACGCGCAGAUAUCAGGAGGAACACCGGUGGCGAAGGCGGGUCUCUGGGGCCGGAACUGGACGCUGAGGAGCGAAAGCGUGGGGAGCGAACAGG
rnacentral:rRNA from 1 species